rnacentral:misc_RNA from 1 species
GAAACUUCCUGUUAAAUCAGAUGCUCCUGGUCUCAGCAAGAUCUGAGUUAAAAAAUUGGCCCCACGGCUGAUUAUUUUUCUUUUCAAAUCCCAGCCAUAUACACCUCCAUUUCCUUUGUAGCGAGUUCCAGAGACAAUAUCAAAAUUACCCUCCUUUUGCUUCCUAAUAAAUUCAGGAAUAAAUUUUGGAUGGUGUGAGAGAUCAGCAUCCAUAAUAAUGAUGUAGUUUCCUGUGGC